rnacentral:rRNA from 1 species
UGGGGAAUUUUGCACAAUGGGGGAAACCCUGAUGCAGCGACGCCGCGUGAUUUAGAAGGCCUUCGGGUUGUAAAAAUCUUUUUUAUGGGAUGAAAAUGACAGUACCAUAAGAAUAAGGUCCGGCUAACUACGUGCCAGCAGCCGCGGUAAUACGUAGGGGGCUAGCGUUGUCCGGAAUCACUGGGCGUAAAGGGUUCGCAGGCGGAAUAACAAGUCAGAUGUGAAAGGCAUGGGCUCAACCCAUGUAAGCAUUUGAAACUGUAAUUCUUGAGAAGUGGAGAGGUAAGUGGAAUUCCUAGUGUAGCGGAGAAAUGCGUAGAUAUUAGGAGGAAUACCUGUGGCGAAGGCGACUUACUGGACACAAAUCUGACGCUGAGGAACGAAAGCGUGGGUAGCAAACAGG